GAAGCGGAGGAACCAAUGAGUGCGAGGUGUUGAGUGACAGCUGUCCAAUAGGGACCCUCAGUGCUAGUACGGUUUACGGCUUAAGCGCCGCCGCCGUGGUCUGAGGAAUGUCAACUAUUCAACAUGGAGGCGGAGGUCGAUAAGCUUGAACUGAUGGAAAAUAACAAGAUUAAGUAAAGAAGCCAUCUCCAUCGCAGUCCUUUCCUCCUACCACUGCCAUUCCCUGGCAUUACUGCUCAGGUAUCAUUGUGCCUUUGCUGCUUCCUUCAAGAUGAACCUUGGGUCUCUUAAAUACCUGCAACACUUAAAUACCUGCAACGUGUAGUGAUCUUGGAAGAAACAGUAUCAUCGUCACACCCCAUUCCCACCCCCAGAAAGUUUGAGACCUUGAUUAGGGUCAAUCCUACCAAGUAGCUGAAGUGGACAUUUAAAGGAAGAUUGGUGAAAAUAAUGGAAAGUGUUUUCGCAUCAAUCAACAUUAUUAAUGGAGGAAUAAGCUCAUUUUCCAGAAAGCUGACUCUGAUCUGGAUUACAUUCAGUACAGGCUGGAAUAUGAAAUCAAGACAAAUUAUCCUGAUUCAGCAGGCAAGAAAAAUCCAGUUACACUCUUAAAAGAAUUGUCAGCAAUAAAGUCUCGAUAUCACGGUUUGCAUACACGCUUUAAACCAAUUGCUGCUGAGCAGAAAGAGACCAAGAGCCGCAUUUGUGCUACUUUCAAUAAGACUAUGACCUUGAUACGAGAACUACAAAAGCAAACGGACCUGGAGCUAUUACCACUGACGGAAGAAGAGAAAACUGCGGCAGAGCAAUUAAAAGCGCACAUGUCAGAUUUAUGAAGAAAUGGACUUGCAAAAGGAAACUCUAAUGGUGAAGAGAUCCCUUCCAGAGGGAUCUAGGAAGAUGUCUUGUUAGCAUUUGAUGACUACUGGUGGGGGGAUGACAAAGAAGAUUUGGCUUGGGUGAUUGGUUAGUGAUGCCUUCUGCAAAAAACAGGAAUAUAGGAAGGGCAGAUACUAUCAAAGUUCAGCCAAAAGGAUGGGAUGAAAAUAAAAAGAUUAAAAAAUAUAUGCACACACACACACACACUUGUUAUUUCAGGAAAGGAAGUCUCAACACCAUUUUGUAUUUAUUUUUGUAUAAUCAGGAUAACAUAGAUGUCCUAGCCUAUUAUAAAAGUAUAUUCAUGUACUGUCAGUCAGUCAAAUGAGACUGAACAUGCUUUGGAAAUUAAAGGAUAGAAAAAAUAUUUGUAUCAUAUAUAUGUAUAGAAUUUUAUAAUUAAAAAUUCUGAUUACAGAGGUGGUCACAUUAUUGAUGAGAUUGCUAAUAAACAGUCUCCUGCCAUACCUAACUUACAUAAUAAGCUGGCUUUUCUGUGACAGUUUCACCUUGUUUAAUGUUUUUGCUUUUUUCUUUUUUUGCCUUUUUAGGGCCACACCGCAGCACAGGGAAGUUCCCAGGCUAGGGGUCAAAUCAGUGUUGUAGCUGCCAGCCUACCCCACAGCCACAGCAGCAAGGGAUCUGAGCCUCACCCGAGACCUACACCACUGCUCACAGCAACACCCAUCCCUGACCCACUGAGCAAGGCCAGGGAUUGAACCUACAUCCUUAUGGAUACUAGUUGGGUUCAUUACCACUGAGCUACAAGGGGAACUAUUUGCCUGCUAAUGUUGAGCAACAUAAGCUCUGCUUUCAAAUGCUGUUUUAGACUAUCUAUAUUGUAUUUCAACACUACUUUUGUUCUCUAGCCUGUAUUACUUUGUUUAUUCUAUGUGAAAGCUAAGAAACUGAAAUGAGGGCAUUCCCACUGUGGCACAGUAGGUUAAUGAUUUGGCUUGUCUCUGUGGAGGUGACGCUUCGAUCCCUAGUCUGGGCCAGGGGGUUAAGGAUCCAGUGUUGCUGCAGGUGUGACAUAGGUCACACCCCCUGCUUGGAUUUGAUCCCUGGCCUGGUAACUUUCAUAUGCUAUGGGGGCAGCUGAAAAAGAAAAAAUAAAAAAGGAACUGAAAUGAGAGGACCACUGGCAACUACUACUUGCCAGGUGUCUGUGUGUGUGUGUAUGUUUCCCUAUUUAUUAAAAAAAAAAAAAAAAAACUAACAGCAAGUAAUAGGAAAGUAAAUUAUGGUUUAGCUUUAAACUAAGAGGUCAAGUUACCAGUAAAUUAUUACUAUAAAUGCUGAAGCUAUGCUAAAUAGGGAAGCAGAUAUUGCAGUUUUGUAGUUAAGAUUGGGCUUUGGACUCAUACCUGCGAUGUAAAUGCAGGCUUUAAAUUCUAGCUGUAUGACCCUGAGCAAAUCACUUAACAUGUGAGUGUCAGGAUGGUUAGAAGCACAAUGAGAUGGUAGAGUAUUAGGGUUUGAUAUUAGGUAAUCCUUCAAUAGAUAUUUCCAUUUGUGUAAUUAAAAACAGGGCAUUGAAAAAAUGAUGAAAAGUCUAUCUAAUGUUAGGUUAUAGAAUUAUACUUUUAUUUUUUAUUUUUUGCUUUUCAGGGCUACACCCAUGGCAUAUGGAGGUUCCUAGGCUAGGGGGCGAAUCGCAGCUACAGCUGCUGGCCAUGGCCACAGCCACAGCAACCCUGGAUCUGAGUCACAUCUGCGAACUACAUGGCUCAUGGCAUUGCUGGAUCUCCAAUCCACUGAGUGAGGCCAGGUAUCCUCAUGGAUAUUAGUUAGGUUCGUUUCUGCUUCGCCACAGUGGGAACUCUAGAAUUAUACUUUUCUAUAAUUAAUAAUUUUUAUUAUGUUAUUAACAAUCUUAAAUAAAUAGCUGACAAACAGUGUUGAGAGAACAGCUUUAGUUAAAAUUAAGUUCUGGAAUUCCUUUUGUGGCUCAGUGGAUUAAGAAUCCCAUUAGUAUCCAUGAGGAUGCAGGUUGGUUUUUUUUUCUGGUUUUUUUGUUUUUUAGGUCCUCACCCGCCGCAUAUGGGGGUUCCCAGGCUAGGGGUCCAAUUGAAGCCACAGCUGCCUGCACACGCCACAGCCACCUGCACAUGCCACAGCAACAUGCGAUCCCUAACCCACCGAGCAGGCCAGGGAUCGAACCCACAAUGUCACAGUUCCUAGUUGGAUUCGUUUCCGCUGUGCCACAACAGGAACUCUGAGGAUGCAGGUUUGAUCCCUGGCCUCACUGGGUUAAGGAUCCAGUGUUGCUGAGAGCCAUGGCUAGGUCACAAAUGCAGCCUGGAUCUGGCAUUGUAGCUCUGAUUCGACCCCUACCCUGGGAACUUCCAUAUGACGUGGGUGUGGCCAUUAAAAAAAAAAAAAAGAAAGAAAAUUAAGAAGUCCUAACUCAUCCCUGGUGUUAAAGUUGUUUUUCUUUCAAUCGGGAAAACACUGAAAUUGUACUGUUUGUUCUCUACGACUUCCUUCACAAGUUAUCUUCUAAAUGUUGGUUCUUCCUUUCACUCCUCUUAGGAUUGUUUUCUUUGCACUCUUUUAUAUACUAAUUUGUCUCCAAAGUUUGAUUUAUUGCCUUUUGGGGGAUGAUCCCCAAGUAUAACUUACUCCAAUAGACCUAGAUCCAUAUUUCCAAUAAAAACCUCUACCUGAAUAUUCCAA